rnacentral:rRNA from 1 species
CCUACGGGUGGCAGCAGUGGGGAAUAUUGGACAAUGGUGGAAACCCUGAUCCAGCGACGCCGCGUGAGUGAAGAAGUAUUUCGGUACGUUAAGCUCUAUUAGCAGGAAAGAAAAUGACGGUACCUGACUAAGAAGCCGCGGCUAACUACGUGCCAGCAGCCGCGGUAAGACGGAGGGGGCAAGCGUUAUCCGGAUUUACUGGGUGUAAAGGGAGCGUAGACGGCAGCGCAAGUCUGGAGUGAAAUGCCGGGGCCCAACCCCGGAACCGCGCUGGAAACUGUGAAGCUGGAGUGCAGGAGAGGUAAGCGGAAUGCCUGGUGUAGCGGUGAAAUGCGUAGAUAUCAGGCAGAACACCGGCGGCGAAGGCAGCUUACUGG